rnacentral:rRNA from 1 species
AUUGAACGCUGGCGGCAGGCCUAACACAUGCAAGUCGAACGAGUCGCAGACGUGUGAGUAAUGUCUGGGACACUGCCUAAUGGAGGGGGAUAACUACUGGAAACGGUCGCUAAUCCCGCCUACCAUCAGAUUUGCCCAGAUGGGCUUCGCUAGUUGGUGGGGUAACGGCUAACCAAGGCGACGAUCCCUAGCUGGUUUGAGAGGAUGACCAGCCACACUGGAAAGGAGACACGGUCCAGCCUCCUACGGGAGGCAGAAGUGGGGAAUAUUGGACAAGGGGCGCAAGCUGGAUGCAGAAAUGCCGCGGGGAGGAAGAAGGCCUUCGGGUUGUAAAGUACUUUCAGCGGGGAGGCGGUACCCGAAGAAGAAGCACCGGCUAACUCCGUGCCAGCAGCCGCGGUAAUAC